CAGCUCAAUCAGGGGUGCUCCGUAAUGUCGGGGCUGAGAUGUCGGGCGCAAGCCUGCGGACCCUUUAGCUGAUCUGGGUAAUGCCAGCGGAGCGAGGUGAAAAUGUUUUCCG
rnacentral:ncRNA from 1 species